GUACGGGAGGCAGCAGUGGGGAAUCUUGCGCAAUGGGCGAAAGCCUGACGCAGCAACGCCGCGUGCGGGAAGAAGGCCUUCGGGUUGUAAACCGCUGUCAGGAGGGACGAAGCCACUCGGGUGAAUAGCCCAGAGGGUGACGGUACCUCCAGAGGAAGGUCCGGCUAACUACGUGCCAGCAGCCGCGGUAAUACGUAGGGACCUAGCGUUGUCCGGAAUCAUUGGGCGUAAGGCGCGUGUAGGCGGCUUGGCAAGUCCGAUGUGAAAGCCUGGGGCUCAACCCCGGGACUGCAUUUGAAACUGCCUUGCUAGAGUUCGGAAGAGGGGACUGGAAUUCCUGGCGUAGCGGUGAAAUGCGCAGAUAUCAGGAAGAACACCGGUGGCGAAGGCGGGUCCCUGGGACGAUACUGACGCUGAGACGCGAAAGCGUGGGGAGCAAACAGGAUUAGAAACCCCAGUAGUCCC
rnacentral:rRNA from 1 species